rnacentral:rRNA from 1 species
ACGCCCAGAAGAGCCGCAGUGAAUAGGCCCAAGCGACUGUUUAUCAAAAACACAGGUCUCUGCUAAACCGUAAGGUGAUGUAUAGGGGCUGACGCCUGCCCGGUGCUGGAAGGUUAAGAGGAGUGGUUAGCUUCUGCGAAGCUACGAAUCGAAGCCCCAGUAAACGGCGGCCGUAACUAUAACGGUCCUAAGGUAGCGAAAUUCCUUGUCGGGUAAGUUCCGACCCGCACGAAAGGCGUAACGAUUUGGGCACUGUCUCAACGAGAGACUCGGUGAAAUCAUAGUACCUGUGAAGAUGCAGGUUACCCGCGACAGGACGGAAAGACCCCGUGGAGCUUUACUGUAGCCUGAUAUUGAAAUUCGGCACAGCUUGUACAGGAUAGGUAGGAGCCUUUGAAACGUGAGCGCUAGCUUACGUGGAGGCGCUGGUGGGAUACUACCCUAGCUGUGUUGGCUUUCUAACCCGCACCACUUAUCGUGGUGGGAGACAGUGUCAGGCGGGCAGUUUGACUGGGGCGGUCGCCUCCUAAAAGGUAACGGAGGCGCUCAAAGGUUCCCUCAGAAUGGUUGGAAAUCAUUCAUAGAGUGUAAAGGCAUAAGGGAGCUUGACUGCGAGACCUACAAGUCGAGCAGGGUCGAAAGACGGACUUAGUGAUCCGGUGGUUCCGCAUGGAAGGGCCAUCGCUCAACGGAUAAAAGCUACCCCGGGGAUAACAGGCUUAUCUCCCCCAAGAGUUCACAUCGACGGGGAGGUUUGGCACCUCGAUGUCGGCUC